CACAAGGAAAGAGGGGAAAGAGAGGUGCCAGGCAGGGGUUGCAGAGAAAAGAGAAGGGAAUCCACCCGCACCACCACCGGCGCGGCGCCCGCCACUCCUGCUCCCCUUCCUCUAUUUCUUUCGCCCCCGCGCCGCCACCUCCCCGCUCCUCUCUCCCCAUCCCCGCCCCGCCUCGCCAUUCGCGCCCCAGAGGCUGGGAACUCCAAAGAGGAACAGGGUCCAUGGAGGGUGGAGGCGCAGGAAAUGGUUUGACUGGGACGGCGCAGAUAAAGGGGACUGGGGUUGAUGGCUCGGCCAAGCCGCUGCCCCCUUGCUGUGUCAAGGCCAGGGCCGCGGCACCUGAGUCUGAGGCCAAGUGUCAUGCUACAGUGGUGUCGGGCUGGUUCACUGAACCACGAUCACGCUGCGGUAAAGCAAGCAAAGUUCAGUACUACAAUAAUCCGAUGUGGCCAGGAGAGGCCCACUCCUUGAAAGUGGAGAAGAUCUUGUACCAGGGGAAGUCACCAUACCAAGAAGUCUUAGUUUUUGAGUCGUCAACCUAUGGUAAAGUCCUUGUGCUUGAUGGCAUUGUUCAGUUGACUGAUAAGGAUGAAUGUGCGUACCAGGAAAUGAUUACUCACCUCCCACUUUGUUCCAUUCCAUCCCCUAAAAAAGUUUUAGUUAUUGGUGGUGGUGAUGGAGGUGUACUCCGAGAGAUUUCCAGACAUAGUUCUGUGGAGUCUAUUGACAUAUGUGAAAUUGAUCAGCUGGUUAUUGAUGUUUGCAAAGAUUUCUUCCCACAAUUGUCUGUUGGAUUUGAAGAUCCUCGUGUUCAACUUCAUGUUGGCGAUGCUGUGGAGUUCUUGAGAAAUACUCCUGAAGGUACAUAUGACGCUAUCAUUGUUGAUUCAUCGGACCCAAUAGGGCCUGCUCAGGAACUUGUGGAGAAGCCUUUUUUCGAUACAAUUGCUAGAGCCUUGAGGCCUGGUGGAGUUCUUUGUAAUCAAGCUGAGAGUAUGUGGUUGCAUACACAUCUGAUUCAGGAUAUGCUUUCAAUUUGCCGUGAGACUUUCAAGGGUUCUGUGCACUAUGCCUGGACUAGUGUCCCAACAUACCCGAGGUUCUUCACACUCUUUAUUAUCUAUUCUCCUUAUCUUUAUCGUUUUUUUUACAUUUUGACUUUAUUUAAUACUAAUUUAGGCAUUCUUAUGUUACUGUUGCACUUCACAAGCUAACACUGAUUUUGGUAUAUUAUGAGUUAAAGAUGACCUGUUGCAACCCAUGUAUUUGCAUGGUGUUUACAAACUGCAAUUAUUCUGUGUUGUCAUUGCUCCUUUUUUUUGGUGUUCUUGCCCCUGAUUUGAAGUGCAAUUGUUGUUUUACUCUUAUUUUAUUAAUUUUGUGAUUUUGCCCUUUGUUUUUCACAAGUCAUUGUGAUUGUACCCUUGGUCUUUGCGUAUUUGCCCCUGAUUUGACCGUUGACUAGGGGUAAAAUUGCAUUGACUUGUGAAUAGUAAAGGUAAAAUCACACAGUUAAAAAAAUAAGGGCAAAAUCACUAUUGCACUUCAAAAUAGGUGUAAGAACACAAAUGCCCCUUUUUUGUUGUGUUGUCAUAGUGUCCCUCGGGAGUCAUUCAGUGUCACUCAUUAUCUUUUGAACUUGUAUCAACUAUUUCUGUUUCACUGCAAGAGUCAGCGCAUGUCUUAAACAAACACCUCAUUAUUGGAAUGAAAAAUUAGUAGUUUUAUACAUUCAUGAACUAAGCACUAUAUGACUUUUUUACAGUUUUUAUUCUUAAAUGACAUAGAACAGAUAGAGCUGGCUAUUGUUACAUUAACUUUAAUAGCAUUUAUUGGUUUGAUUUAUUUUUUAUUGUGUUUCUUUGCUCCUUUUCCUUCAAAAAUGAAGAUUAUAUGGGCCUAGUAGUGCAAGCUUCAAAGUCUGUUGUGUGCUUUGCUGAGUCGAAUGGAUAUUUGAGGGACUUUAACUUAUGGUUUCUGCGAUUAUUUCUUGUUUUAUCCAUUUCUUACAUGAACUUGACGGCUAUUUAAGUUCUGUGUUGUCACUGGUCCUAAUUUCUUUUUUUGUUGGGUUGUCAUAGUGUAUACUUAAAAUAUAAUUCCAGUUUCACUUUUUAGUUUUUCUAGUUGUCUAUUGGAAGUCAUUCAGUGUCAUUCAUUAUCUUUUGAACAUGUAUCAGCUAUUUCUGUUUCACUGCAAGAGUCAGCGCAUGUCUUAAACAAACACCCCAUUAUUCAAAUGAAAAAUUAGUAUUUUUUAUACAUUCAUUAACUAAGGACUAUAUCCUUUUUUUUCAGUUCUUACCCUUAAAUGACAUAGAACAGAUAGAGCUGGCUAUUGUUAAAAUCAUUAUCUUAAAUAGCAUUUAUUCAUUUGAUUUAUUAUUUUAUCUUUCUUUGCUCCUUUUCUGUUAAAGUUGAAGAUUAUAUGGGGCCUAGUAGUGCAAGCUUCAAAGUCUGUUGUGUGCUUUGCUGAGUCGAAUGGAUGCAUAUUUGAGGGACUUUAACUUAUGGUUUCUGCGAUUAUUUCUUGUUUUAUCCAUUUCUGACAUGAGCUUGACGGCCUGGGUUGGGUAUGAGAACAAGUUCUGUAUUCAGCUACUUUUUCUUCUGUCCCAACAAGAUGGUACUGCAAUCCUCAUGAGUGUCACUAUUGUUGACAGUGAACUGGUGCCAGCGCUGGUUCAUUUGGCAAUCAUAGGAUAUUUGGGGCUUAGCUCAACUCAUGCAAGGAACCAGUCAUAGCCUGACAAUACAUUAUGGAGUGAUUGGGUUUUUGCUAUGUGCGAAAGAAGGCCCACCGGUCAACUUCCUGACUCCUAAAAAUCCAAUUGAAAAAUUGGAAGGAGCUACAAAAGCUGGAAGGGAGAUCAGAUUUUAUAAUUCAGAGAUGCAUAGGGCAGUAUUUGUUCUUCCGACCUUUGCUAAAAAAGAGCUAGAAGCAUAUUGCUUUUCCACGGGAAGGGAACAGCCAGAGGAAACAGCUGCAACAGCACCGAAGAUUACUGUUGCUUCGAAGAGCGAAAUUCUCACUGCAUCCUAGACCAGGGCUCACGACCCAUCACGGUAUAUCAAGAAACAGUUCCUUCCCGGAGCUCUUGGGUAUCCAGUGGAUAAACCCAGCAAUGUACCAUCACUUACUGUAACAAUCUGUUAAUAAUUCAUGCUCUGAACGAUGAGAUGAGAUUAGCAUGUUCUGAAGAGAAAAGACGAGCUGGCAGCGCAAUGUAUGAUAUGAGCGAUGAACAUUACAAAUUGCAUUCUCAACUGUUUUGCCGAGCGGUGUGUUGUACUAGUAUAUGGUGGCCAUUUCUCACCACCAGAGGGGUAUUUGUGAAUUAUGAACAUUUUAGUGGACUGGAUGUAUGGGAAAUCUUCUCAUCUAAUCUAACCAUCUCACCAGAUGGGCAAAUAGUUUUUUUUAA